AACUGAUACUACCUGCGGGAACCUGCGGAAGGAUCACUACUGAAGUGAUUUGGGGAUGUUGCUGGCCCUCUCUCAAGGGGGGGCACUGUGCACUCCUCGAAACAAUUCACAAUUUCCAUCACACCCCUUGUGCACACCUUGUAGGCACCCAAACCCACCUCCGGGUGGUGGGGUCCUAUGUAUUCCUUCAUCUCACACUCUGUUGAAUGGUGCCAUGGGACGCAUCUAAAGGAUUAUUUG
rnacentral:misc_RNA from 1 species